UAUAUUUUAUCCCUAGUGGGGUUUAUUUUGAUUUGGUUUGUUGUUUUUUUUUUUUUUUUUCAGGGAAUCAGAGACUGCUUUGGGUGGAAGGGACCUUUGAGAUCAUCUUGUCCCAACCCCCUGCCAUGGGCAGGGACACCUUCCACUAUCCCAGGUUGCUCAGAGCUCCCCCCCAACCUGACCUGGAACACUUCCAUGGAUGGGAAGGAAUUUUCUUUCAUCCUUCUUCCUUUAGGAGCACAUGGCCUUGCCUAAACUCUGUUCAGAUGAGCUCCAGCCCCUGAAGUCAGCAGGAGCAGCAGAGAUCUCACCAGGGAGAAGGUCCAAGGAAACACAAGCUGCAGGAGCUGGGUUGAAUAAAAGUCCGUUCACCACCACAGGGCUGCUGGGAAGAUCCCAGGGAGAAGGAGCCAGCAGCCAAACAGGAGUCAGGAUUGUGAAUCAUCACUCCUGAGAUCUCAUUAAUCACCGCUGGAUAAUGCAGCAGGCAGGAAUUCAUCUGGCAAUAUCCUAAACUGAGGGAAAUCUUCCCUCCUUGUGUGUGUUCCUGGAAACAUUUCCCUUUUGGAUGAAUAAGAGCUGCAAAAUGAAAAAGAACUGAAACAAAGCCCUUCGUGUAAAAUCCCCUAAAUCAUCCCUGGGGGACAAAUAGUUCUCUGUCAAUGACUUGACCAGAAUUGGUUUUCCUAAGGAAAUAUUUUGGAAGUGUGUUCCUGGGAACCUGGGU
rnacentral:lncRNA from 1 species